rnacentral:piRNA from 1 species
UCCACCCAUAACAUAUCCCUGGAUGAGAGC